rnacentral:rRNA from 1 species
CAGUAGCCGCGGUAAUACGAGGGGGGCAAGCGUUGUUCGGAAUUAUUGGGCGUAAAGGGUGCGUAGGCGGCUUGACAAGUCUUGUGUGAAAUCUAUGGGCUCAACCCAUAGUCUGCACGGGAAACUGUCGGGCUUGAGAAUGGGAGAGGUGAGUGGAAUUUCCGGUGUAGCGGUGAAAUGCGUAGAUAUCGGAAGGAACACCUGUGGCGAAAGCGGCUCACUGGACCAUUUCUGACGCUGAUGCACGAAAGCUAGGGGAGCAAACAGGAUUAGAUACCCCCGUAGUCCCUGUCUCUUAUAC